rnacentral:lncRNA from 10 species
UUCUGACAUUGAAGCGGAUCUUGGAGGAUGAGCAGAGAUUUGCCAGGAACAAUUAACAAUAGAAUCCUUAAGAUGCAAAACUCCUUGCUGUUUACCAGCAACAGAAGAGAGGAAGAAGUGGCUCUGGGGGAAUUGCGUGCCAGUCUGCGGCAGGUUGGCUGGAGAAGCAGCCCUGGUUGGAGCUUUGGAGAGACACAUGUGCAUUUACUUGUUACCUGGAAGACCUUUUAAAAAAAAUUCUCGUAAAUCUGUCAUUUGUGUAUCCUCAAGGUUUGUGGCAGAAAGCAGAUAUAUCUGCUCCUGUGUGUAAUUGUUGUUAAAAAACACAAAAAGGAAAUAAAAGUGCACAACAUACCUAGCAGAC